rnacentral:rRNA from 1 species
GGGAGGUCCGUUUGAUAUCCAAAACUAUUCAGCAACAGUCGAACAAGUGGGGAAUGUUCAGGUGAACUAGAAAAUUACCCACGAGGGUAAGCUAACCCCAAAAACCCAUCCUCGGUUCGGAUUGUAGGCUACAACUCGCCUGCUUAAAGUCGGAAUCGCUAGUAAUUGCUGAUCACCCAUAUGGUGGUGAAUUUGUUCCCGAGCCUUGUAUACACUGCCUAUCACACUAUGAGAGUUGAUCAUCUCUCAAGUCCUUACCAUAAUCGCAGUGAGGGAGAUGCCAAUGGCAGGGCUACUGACUGGAGUGAAGUCGUAACAAGGUAAUUGUACUGUAAGGUACAGCUG